CACUCUGACCACCUGCAAAGAUCCAAGAAGGAGCUUGGCUGAGAAGAGCACCCCAUGGAGCCGGAACAUCGUGUCCCCUACCAUUGGGAAAGGACCCUUUAGAUCAGGGUAUGCAGGGGCUAUGUGCUCAUACUCUACUGUGCUUCUCUAACCAUGGCUCAGAGCUGCAGCACUCACAUGAAAACCCUAUGUAGCCAGACACGCUGGUUAACGAAACCCCUCUGACUCCAUUGUUUGGGCGGAACCAGCCUUCCUGUUCUGAUGUGACAUUACGCUUGCCAAGCACCCAGGGUGCAAGACAUCCCUCCCUGCACAGAAUCCCUCGGCGAGCUACAGGGCAACUUCCUAAUCAUAUAAGCUAGAAUGGAUGGUGAGCACCAUCAGCCAGAGAGGAGCCAGUCCAAUGCCUGGAUUGACAGCAACUUCAUUUCCCAUUAACUUGCCCAUUGCUUGUGCCCAGAGCUGAAGCCGAGCGUUGCCAGCACUCCUGGGCGUGCUCUGACAGAUGGAGGCACGGGGGCUAGAUUGAGGACAGUUUGAGGCAAACGGAUGACUCUGCAUUUAGCAUAGAACAGACAGGCAGACCUGCCUUCACUUGUUCUGACACAGAGAUGGGGCCAAGCUGCAACAUUCAGAUCCGAUUCCAGGUCAGGAUUUUAAUGCCCAUGAUGCUCUGGGGUGUUCAGAUCCACGAUUAUUAUUUUUUGGCUCACUUCACAGAUAAAGGACCAUUUUCAAAACCAUGAGCUCAUUUUGGAUUUCCAGUACCCCAAGAGUUUAGGGGAUGGCUUUGGACCCACCUCUUCGUAAACGCGUCCCACAACGAAGCCAGAAUGCCACAGCGGUCACUUCCUCUUCCUUGCAUCUGUUUAAAUUUGUAUCAGUGGUUUGUGGCCAAAUGCUCUUUGAUGGAUGGGUUGCGAUUCUUGCUCCUAGCAGCAGCAUAAUUAAAACCUGUAUUCACUGA